rnacentral:rRNA from 1 species
AGCUCCAAUCGCGUAUAUUUAAGUUGUUGCAGUUAAAAAGCUCGUAGUUGGAUUUCGGGUAGGGGGCGCCGGUCCGCUUCGGUGUGCACUGGCGGCCCAUAUCUUCUUGUCGGGGAUGCGUGCUGGUCUUCAUUGAUCGGCCGCAGAGUCGGCGCAGUUACUUUGAAAAAAUUAGAGUGUUCAAAGCAGGCUUUCGCUUGAAUACAUUAGCAUGGAAUAACAUGAUAGGACUCCGUUCUCAUUGCGUUGGUCUUCGAGACUGGAGUAAUGAUUAAGAGGGACAGUUGGGGGCAUUCGUAUUUCAUUGUCAGAGGUGAAAUUCUUGGAUUUAUGAAAGACGAACUUCUGCGAAAGCAUUUGCCAAGGAUGUUU